rnacentral:rRNA from 1 species
CACGCUGUAAACGAUGAUUACUCGUUGUUGGGCAUUUAUGCUCAGUGGCCAAGCGAAAGUGAUAAGUAAUCCACCUGGGGAGUACGAUCGCAAGGUUGAAACUCAAAGGAAUUGACGGGG